UAAAAUAACAUUGCGACAUUUUGAAGUAAUGAGCAAAUAUGUUUUGUUGUAAUACAUUUUCGCGACAAAUGUACGAAAUACGUUUGUGUAGAAACACAGUUAAAUGACUAGUGUACAGCUAAUACUUCAUUUGUUAUAUAUUUUAACAGCUAUUAUAUUUGUUUCUUAAUGUAUGUAAGCUAUUUUUGUCUAGAAAAAGAAUCAAUUGCCAUAAAGGGCCGGCAGCGAUGCAAAAGUGGGUGGGGAAGGUCCAAAACUAAAACGUUUAAAAAGUCCAUGUUUUAUAUAGUUUUGAGGAAUGAUCUUUUAGGGGUGUGAAACAUAUAUUAUUGGCAACAUGUUUUGGGGUAGUAAGGAGUUAACAAAUUUUACAAUAGAAGAUUAAUUAAUAUUUUGGAUCAAAAAAACUUUCACAUUUAUUCAGCAAAGUCUGUUGACAUUGCUUAUCACUUUGUUUUUACGUCAAAAUGCCCCAGACUACCUAUUCAACAAUGUUGUGAGUUCUUUAUUAUAUCUUGUCAAAUAAAAAAACGAAGUUCUUCAGGAAAAUAAUGAAAAGUAGUGGAUGAGAAAUCAUUUCUUGGUUACAAAUAUCUUUUUAAAUAUAGCUGCAAUCAAUACAAAGCCCCAGUAUUAAUAAAUUUGACUCACAAAUAUACCCUUUGUUUAAAAAAAAACAUUAUAGCAUGAUAAAAUCUUAUUUCGUAAAAUAUGCUCAACUCCUAAGCCGCUUCAGAGUCUUAGAUGAUUUUUUAUUUGGCGACUCUAUGUGUCCAAAUCCCACUUGUUGUUUUCUUAGCAAAGAAUGACAGAUCCUAGCGCUAAGUAUAUUGAGCGGAAAGGUAACGGGCACCUGCUAGAUGGUUUCAAAAUGGCGAUGCUUUAUUGUCAGAAGUCUAUCUAAUUUAAACUUAUUUGUGUUUCAUUAAAAACUUAGAUGUGUAAUAAGUAAAAGGUAUGGGCUAAAAUAAUUAAAGUGUAACUUUUGUGUAAUUAUUUAACAGUGAAGAGUUAAGUAUGUGGACUAACAGUUGAAGAAUAUAUUUUACAUUGGUAUGGAUCAGUCAACUUGUGGCGUUUAGAAAAUAAAAUGAAUGUCCAAAUGUUAAAAAAGUUCCCUAAAUGUGCAUUAUUGUUGCUAAACUCCUAAUUACAGCUUCUCAUGUUGCAAUGGAUAAAUGGGUAUGAAUCAUGCUUGUGAAAUAUUAAUCCUCAAAUUUAAGCAGAAAUUGAUUAUUUUAACAUUUUAAGUUUUGGUCCUUCAAUGGGUAUCUGCAUUGCUGCUGACCCUUGACCUUUUAAAUAACCACUAUGCAAACAAAUUAUAGUUUAGUGCCUGAAAUGUUGUUUCUUCUAUUUUAGCCGGCCUUAAGGAGCUAACAAAGAAAUCAUCAAUCCACAAAAAGAAUCAACCAGUGAAGGAGAAAAACAUUCAAAGCUGUAAAUUGCCAAAUCCAUCAGUUGGAAGAUGGAUGUCAAAGUCUCCGACAAAAGCUUCCAGAGUUAAGAAAAGAUCACUUUAACGAAAACAAGCACGAGAAGAAUGACUGCAAAAAAGCUUUUCGCAGAUGCGUUUCCUCAUCAAGUGUAUAAGGAAAACGGACCUGUCUACACAGACUAGAUGUAAAUGUCAAGGACUGAAAUGAGCAAUUCAAUGGCUCCUUUCUAAUUGUGUUAAGUGUCAUAAAAAAUAAAACUGUUAUAAAUGGA